rnacentral:rRNA from 1 species
AACGGCCGUACCAUGCUGAAUAUACCGGUUCUCGUUAGAUCACCAGUUAAGCAUCAUGGGCGCGGUCUUGGGGUGGGUGACCACCUGGGAACACUGCGUGCCGUU